AGGCAGGAGGGAGGUCCUGGCCAUCAAGAGUCAGAGAGUGUGCCCCAGUAAGGGUUCUGUACCUGGAGGCACACCUCUGUUUCCCCGAGGCUUGCACAGGCCUAGGCCAGAAAUGCUGGCUCAUGCUGCCUGAGGCCCAGCAGAAAGAAAGGGAGGACUCAGCUGCCCCCUGCUGGUCACAGCUGAGCCGGCUGCUUCUCUCAGGGCACAAGAAAGGGUUCAUCCAUCCCUUGGCACUGGACUUGCUGCUGCAAACCGAACCUGUGAGACCCGGCUCAGCCCUGUGUCUCAGCUCUGGAUGCAGCUGGGUAUUUUUGUCCCAGCAACAAGACAAGUAACCAAUCAAAUGGCCAAACGCAACUGAAGCUAUCCAGGUGCUGACUACAGGGACAGCACCCUGUCCCAGCAUCAUCACAAGGCCCCAAAUCACAGAAAGAUUGGCGAAUGGAAGGUCAGAGUAUGUGAUGUAAGGACCGUCUGUCAGCACUAAGUCUAAGAAUGGAGGGGCCAACAGCAAAGGCAUGCAGUGUCUCAGACACUGGAGUUAACUAACAGUGCCCUAGAGCCUCAGGAAGACGUGCUCCCUGCCCACACCUUCAGUCAGCUCAUCAAGACUGUGCUUUCCAACCUGCAUAAUUAUGAGGUAAUGAAAGGCUGGACUGAGCCACUGUGGGAAUGGUGAUGUCACAGUGGCAACAGGAAAUUGACUCUGGUGGCAGGGAACUGUUGUGGAAUAUUAGUUUAAGAUGUUACAUUCAUUUACGCUGUGGAACAUUUGUUUAAUGCUGCAAAGACGUGUUGCAUUCUUUUA